rnacentral:rRNA from 1 species
GGUCGUAGACCCGAAACCAGGUGAUCUACCCUUGGUCAGGUUGAAGUUCAGGUAACACUGAAUGGAGGACCGAACCGACUUACGUUGAAAAGUGAGCGGAUGAACUGAGGGUAGCGGAGAAAUUCCAAUCGAACCUGGAGAUAGCUGGUUCUCUCCGAAAUAGCUUUAGGGCUAGCCUCAAGUGAUGAUUAUUGGAGGUAGAGCACUGUUUGGACGAGGGGCCCCUCUCGGGUUACCGAAUUCAGACAAACUCCGAAUGCCAAUUAAUUUAACUUGGGAGUCAGAACAUGGGUGAUAAGGUCCGUGUUCGAAAGGGAAACAGCCCAGACCACCAGCUAAGGUCCCAAAAUAUAUGUUAAGUGGAAAAGGAUGUGGCGUUGCCCAGACAACUAGGAUGUUGGCUUAGAAGCAGCCAUCAUUUAAAGAGUGCGUAAUAGCUCACUAGUCGAGUGACACUGCGCCGAAAAUGUACCGGGGCUAAACAUAUUACCGAAGCUGUGGAUUGUCCUUUGGACAAUGGUAGGAGAGCGUUCUAAGGGCGUUGAAGCAUGAUCGUAAGGACAUGUGGAGCGCUUAGAAGUGAGAAUGCCGGUGUGA